AUUGAACGCUGGCGGCAUGCUUUACACAUGCAUGUCGAACGGUAACAGGGUGCUUGCACCGCUGACGAGUGGCGAACGGGUGAGUAAUGCGUCGGAACGUGCCGAGUAGUGGGGGAUAACGCAGCGAAAGUUGUGCUAAUACCGCAUACGUACUGAGGUAGAAAGUGGGGGACCUGCGGGCCUCACGGUAUUCGAGCGGCCGACGUCUGAUUGGCUAGUAGGUGAGGUAAAGGCUCACCUAGGCGACGAUCAGUAGCGGGUCUGAGUGGAUGGUCCGCCACACUGGGACUGAGACACGGCCCAGACUCCUACGGGAGGCAGCAGUGGGGAAUUUUGGACAAUGGGCGAAAGCCUGAUCCAGCCAUGCCGCGUGUCUGAAGAAGGCCUUCGGGUUGUAAAGGACUUUUGUCAGGGAGGAAAUCCCUAGUGCUAAUAACACUGGGGGAUGACAGUACCUGAAGAAUAAGCACCGGCUAACUACGCGCCAGCAGCCGCGGUAA
rnacentral:rRNA from 1 species